GUUUUUAUGUAAAUAAUCUAUUAGCAGGGUAUAUACGCAGCUUCAAUAUUUGCAACACAAUGGCCAAUCUCACUACUUUCUUUCUUAUGACGGUAUGGGCGCUUUUCUGCUUAGUGGUGGCACCAAAGAUGAAGGAAAAAGAUCCAGUCUGCCAAACUCAGGGAUAAUGAUACAUCAGCCUCUUGGUGGAGCACAAGGAGGGCAAAGUGAUGAUGACAUACAGGCAAUGAAAUGCUACAUCACAAGUCAAACUUAAAUGGGUAUCUCUCUUACCAUACUGGUCAAAGUCUUGAGAAGAUUGACCAGGACACUGACCGCGAUUUUUUCAUGAGUGCACAAGAAGCCAAAGACUAAGGGCUUAUAGAUGGUGUCAUCCUGAACCUCAUGGAGUACUCCAGCCGCUAUCAGCUGCAGAAGAUCAGUGAAGAAUUAUUUGAACAUUUCAACUACAACCAUAUAGUCAAUUUAUAGCUCUCCCAAAGUUAUUUUAGCUAUAUCUUUCCUUAUUUGAUGAUCUUGUUUGAACAGUAGAAUCCAUACUGCUAGUUUCGCGUACAA